rnacentral:tRNA from 1 species
GGCCAAAUAGCUCAGUUGGUAGAGCAGCGGAUUGAAAAUCCGCGUGUCGGUGGUUCGAUCCCGCCUUUGGCCACCA